CAUGCAAAUUCAGAAAUCACUGCUGCUCUUGCUGAGAUGGCAGAGGAUUCUUUGGAGAGCGUGAUGCCCCUCCUUCACGUGAUGCCGUCGGUAGAUCGGGCAAAUCACCUGGUUGUCAUCCAUCAUAACACCGAAGGGCUGUCUUGUCAUGUGCAGGACAUCAGGUGCCACCACGAGCUGCACUUUGCUGAUGUUUUGUGCUUCACGGAGACACACCUUCAAGGAUCUGUGGCUGAUGGACGUGCCUGCUUGGAAGGGUUCACAAUGUUUCACAGGAACCGAAGAGAUUCUUACACAAACUGUCUUGACUUGGCGACGAAACUUGGUGGCGGCGUAGGUAUUUGUGUCAAAAGUCACAUUGCAGCCCAGGAAAAGAAAUACAUACAGGGUGUGACCGACAUUGAAUUUGUUGUGGUGAAACUUGAAGCUCCUCUCAAUGUGUUGAUUGCUGCCGUUUACAGGCCUCCAGGCAACAGUCCGCGCACUUUUCUGCCAAGCUUGGGAAAUCUCUUGCGGUACCUUGAAGUAAUGGACCAUCAUCAGAUCUUGGUAUGUGGAGAUUUUAAAUGAAGAUAUGCUAUCAGCCUCAUUCAAGCCCAUUCUCGAUUUGUUUCGCUCAACAGGUUACACGCAACUCAUAACCACUGCUACCACUGACAAAAACACAUUGCUUGACCUAAUUUUUGUCUCUCGACCUCAGUGUGCUCUUCAUUCAGGUGUCUUGCAAACGUACUACAGCUAUCACAAUCUUGUUUUCUGUGUUUUGGCCACUGAAAGGUAAGUCACAGCUAAAUCAUGUGGUUCAGCAUUUGCAAAAAGGAUGGAAAUCAGAACGUGAACGUUGUCGUAAGUGUAUAAUAUUAGUGGUGGGAUGUGGUGGGUGAGUUGUUGCCUUUAGGUGAGAUGGGAUCUGGGGCGAAGGUUGCUCAAAAUGACAAAUGAAAGAAACCUGAAAACUCAAAAUAACUACAGACCUAUGUAUGACAUACUUUGUUUUCUGCAGAUAGGACCUCAUGUCUAUGGUGGGAAGAUAGUCCUGUAGGUUGAGAUGGAAUAGUGGUUGGGGGUCGGUGAGGAAUCACGUUGAGUUAAGGGAGGGCAAAGGCUUUUUAAAAUUUCAAAAAGCCUUCCCUUAACUCAACUUUUUAAUUUUUAAAAAGCCUUCCCUUAACUCAACUUUUUAUUUUUAAAAAGCCUUCCCUUAACUCAACGUUUUAAUUUUUAAAAAUGUUACUUUUACUUUUUAAAAUUGUAACUUUUAAAACUUUUAACUUUUUAACUUUUUACAUUUUUAAAUUAACUUAUGGUUGAGAGGAGACUUUUUAACUUUUUAAACCUUUAUUUUACAAUCAAAUUUUAAUCUUUUAAACCUUUAUUUUACAAUCAGAUUUUAACCUUUUAAAACUUUACUUUACAAUCAAAUUUUAACCUUUUAAACCUUUAUUUUACAAUCAAAUUUUAACCUUUUAAACCUUUAUUUUACAAUCAAAUUUUAAAGAUGAGUUAAGGGAAGGCCUUUUACAUUUUAACUUUUUAAUUGUUUUGAACUUUUAUUUUUAAUUUUUUUGAAUGUCAUAAUCACCAGGCGAGAACAGAAAACAGAUGAGGUAAGUUGCUCGUCAUGAAACAUGUUUUUUCCUUUCUUUCUAAAGAGAGUAAAUGCUGCUAUUUCACUCUUUUGUAUUUUAACAGUUUUUAUCUGGCGAAAGCAGUUCAUCCCAGAAUGGAGGCCAGAGGUAGGCAUGACAUAUCACCUUAUUGUAAUGUAAUUAUAAAAUUGUAACAUGUUGUAAUUUAUAGUUAAGCUUGUGUAAGCCCUCUGUACAAUCAUACAUUUUCAAUCAACUUUGCUGGAUUGUCCUUUUUUCUCCACAAAGACCUUGAGCAUGCAAAAACAUUCAUCAUGGACGAAUGACUCCCAGGCAGACUCAAGGCACGCCACCCCUACAACAUGGCAGCACAAGAGAUGCUCAAUUCCAUCCCUGAAGACAUCUCCAGAGAUGCCUGGCUGGCAGCAGCUUGGAAGCAGGAGUGGGAGGCAGCUGGCCCCUCCCUCAUGCACAGUUAUGUCUGGGAACCAGGAGACGGCGCCAUAGGAGGAGACGAACUACCUCGCCAGCAGUGGACCACACUGAACCGCUUAAGAACUGGUGUUGGGCGCUUCAACAUGUCUAGUGGGGUCUGGCGGACAGUGCGGCAUGCGAGUGCGGAGCCCCCGAGCAGACAGCCGACCACACCAUCAACACCUGCCCCCUAUAUAGACCACCUUCAGAGGCCGGCCUCUUCGACCUGGGACCAGAGAUGCUGCCGUGGCUCCACGACACCAAGUUGGAGCGCUGACGUUACACGAGAGAGAGAGAGAGAGAGAGAGAGAGAGAGAGAGAGAGAGAGAGAGAGAGAGAGAGAGAGAGAGAGAGAGAGAGAGAGAGAGAGAGAGAGAGAGAGAGAGCGAGCGAGAGAGACUCCCAAACCAGGGUGGCAAGAAGCAGGACUUCUCAUUCCUCUUUUUUUAUGUUGCGUGUGGCUCCACAUGCUCCAUUUGUCUAGACCAUUUGUUUGGCCACCUUGGUACUCAGCCUUGAUGAGACCUGGCCUGUCUCGCCAAAAAAAUGACCGAAGUUUUAAGAAGAUCCAUGGGACCAGUGUUAUUCUCCUUUUCUAUUGACUCCAAGCAACACCACAGGGAGAGCCAAGACUUUCCAAAAGACCUGUACAACGGAGGCCAGCAUCAUGAAACACAAACUCCGAAACCAGCAUGGUAACACACAGGACUUCUUCUGAUUCUUCUUAUGUUCUUGGGUCUUGCCUGUGGUUCUACACGCAUCCAGAAAUGCAGACAAAGAACAGCUUCGCCUUUAACAGUCGGAAGCCUCUGAUUUUACUCUACUAAGCCUCAGAUACAGUCUGUUUUCUGUUCUCAUUCAGUCAUUCAUUUAUCGAUUUAUUUAUUUAUUUAUUUAUUUAUUUAUUAUAUUUUUUGCCUCAAAUUAUGUUUGCAUUAUCUUUUGUAUAACAGCGUCUACAAUCAUGUUGCACUUAAACUCUUAAAAAAUAACACUGAAAUUAACAUAACAUCCAUCCAUCCAUUCAUUCUCUGAACCGCUUAGUCCCCACGCGGGCCGCGGGUGUGCUGGAUCCUAUCCCAGCCGUCAUCGGGCAGUAGGCGGGGGACGCCCUGAACCGGUUGCCAGCCAACCGCAGGGCACACAGAGAUUAUUAUCUAUUGAAUCAGUAAAAUACUUGAUAUGUUUUUAUUUGUUAUGUUUUAGCGUUUUUGAAAGUUAUUUAUAUUAUUUCUUGCAUUAAUUCUUUGAUUCAAUUAAAAAACCUGUAUUUUGUCCCAAAAAGCACAAUUUUUUCCCUUCUCUUGUGUGUGAUUUAUUAUAUUUUGUUUCCAAUAUUUAAACAGCUCAGUGGCCUAGUGGUAGAGUGUCCGCCCUGAGACUGGAAGGUUGUGGGUUCAAACCCCGGCCGGGUCAUACCAAAGACUAUAAAAAUGGGACCCAUUGCCUCCCUGCUUGGCACUCAGCAUUAAGGGUUGGAAUUGGGGGGUUAGAUCACCAACUGAUUCCCGAGCGCGGCACCGCUGCUGCUCACUGCUCCCCUCUCCCCCAGGGGAUGGAUUAAAAUCACACGGGGAUGUAAAACUAUUAAA